GACGAACGCUGGCGGCGUGCUUAACACAUGCAAGUCGUACGGUAAGGCCCUUUCGGGGGUACACGAGUGGCGAACGGGUGAGUAACACGUGAGUAACCUGCCCACAACUUUGGGAUAACGCUAGGAAACUGGUGCUAAUACUGGAUAUGUGCUCCUGCUGCAUGGUGGGGGUUGGAAAGCUCCGGCGGUUGUGGAUGGACUCGCGGCCUAUCAGCUUGUUGGUGGGGUAGUGGCCUACCAAGGCGGCGACUGGUAGCCGGCCUGAGAGGGUGACCGGCCACAUUGGGACUGAGAUACGGCCCAGACUCCUACGGGAGGGAGCAGUGGGGAAUAUUGCACAAUGGGCGCAAGCCUGAUGCAGCAGCGCCGCGUGCGUGAUGACGGCCUUAGGGUUGUAAGCCGCGUUCAGCAGGGACGAAGCUUUUUGUGACGGUACCUGCAGAAGAAGCACCGGCUAACUACGUG
rnacentral:rRNA from 1 species